rnacentral:tRNA from 1 species
AGUCUUAGGGAGGUUAGUUGCUCUCCUU